GGUCCCCAAUGAUGUUAGCACUGGGCUCCGAACUCCUGUGAUGACAUCUGUGCCUCCUGGGGCCUUGACACCCCGGGACUGAGGGGGCC
ensembl:snoRNA small nucleolar RNA SNORD88